UACGUAGGGUGCGAGCGUUAAUCGGAAUUACUGGGCGUAAAGCGUGCGCAGGCGGUUGUGCAAGACAGAUGUGAAAUCCCCGGGCUUAACCUGGGAACUGCAUUUGUGACUGCACGGCUAGAGUGUGUCAGAGGGGGGUAGAAUUCCACGUGUAGCAGUGAAAUGCGUAGAGAUGUGGAGGAACACCGAUGGCGAAGGCGAGUCCCUGGACAAGACCUGACACUGAGGCACGAAAGCCAGGGGAGCAAACAGG
rnacentral:rRNA from 1 species